rnacentral:snRNA from 1 species
GUGCUCACUUCAGCAGCACAUAUACUAAAAUAUGAACAAAACAGAGAAGAUCAGCAUGGCCCCUGUGCAAGGAUGACAUGCAAAUUCGUGAAACAUUCCAUAGUUUU